rnacentral:lncRNA from 1 species
UGAGAAAUGACUGUAGAUCAUGGGAAGUUUGGGUUUACAAAUGUUGAAUUGCAUAUAUUGGUAGAUCAUAAGGUGGGGAUAUUGAGCAGAGUGUUAGACAUGAAAGCAAUUUGUAAGUAAUCAAUUGGCCUUCACAUAUUCAUCCAUUUAUUUAUUCAGAAAAUUACUUAGUCGGGAAAUUUUCGUUCAUAUGGUUGUAUGUCCUGUUGUUAAGGUAUUUCAAGAAUUUUCCUGUUCAGCUCAUUUUACAUAGUUCUGUUGUGGCAUUACAUUGUAAGCAUCUACCAUAAAGGUCUGCUAGUGGUUACCCUUAAUUUACAUUCAGAUGAAAGAGAAGAGAAGGAAAAAUACACAAGCAGGAGUCUUGAAAUUAUGGUACCUAAAAUUAUUAGGCAAUUUACAAAAUUAUUAGUGGGAAACUGCCCAUCAUGCAUAAAAAUAAUUUUAAUUGUGACAUACAGAGUUUAAGGUAGGAAUGAUUGUGGGGAGACCACAAUCACUUAAAGAAAGUGAUAUCUUUAAGAAGUUGAGUGUUUCCAGUCAAGAGAGAACUUGUUUUGGCUCUGUGACAAAGUUCUCUUGACACAGAAAGACUUGCUGUGAACUGGAAAAUUGUUA